CGAGGCGGACAUAUAUAAGCCAAUUUUUUCGCCAUUCCCUCCCUCACAUCUACUGCCGGUAAAUCCAGAAGUGCGCGCGAGGCUUAAUUCCUGCAAGGCAAGAAUGUCGGAUGAAGGAAAGCUUUUUGUUGGUGGCCUGAGCUUUGACACCAAUGAACAGUCUCUUGAAGAUGUCUUUUCAAAGUAUGGACAGAUCACUGAAGUUGUUGUAAUCAAGGACCGGGAAAGUCAGAAAUCCAGAGGCUUUGGAUUCAUCACCUUCGAGAACCCAGAUGAUGCCAAGGAUGCCAUGAUUGCCAUGAAUGGCAAGUCCCUCGAUGGAAGACAGAUCCGUGUUGACCAGGCCGGGAAGUCUGGUGGUGGCGGCAGGCCGGGAGGAGGCUACAGAGGGGGAUCCUCAGGUGGUAGAGGCGGAGGAGGAGGAGGUGGAUACUACCGCGGGGGCAGAGGGGGUGGUGGACGAGGUGGGCGUGGCUUCUCACGAGGUGGCGGUGAGCGUGGGUACGGUGCCGGGCGUUACGACCGAAGUGGAGGCGGAGGUGGUUACUACAACAGAGACCGGGCACAAGGAGGCGGAUACGGGGAUCGCUCUGGAGGUGGUGGCCACUGACUUCUUCUGAAGCCUUCUGUAGUUCAGUUGUGUUGGCGAAAAUAAGGUCCAGUUUAGCACUGCAGAACUGGUGGAAAGGUAGGCUGGCCCCCACAGUAAGCAUUAGCCUGAGUAUGCUAGUAAAGGUCCUAGCAACCAAUCUCACCCCUGCCCCAUCCAUAGUUGUAUUUACUAACUCCUACCUCUGGACUUUUUCUUCAUGAACAGGUGGUGGCCACUGAGUUCUUCUGAAGCCUUCUGUAGUUCAGUUGUGUUGGUGAAAAUAAGGUCCAGUUUAGCACUGCAGAACUGGUGGAAAGGUGAUGAGGGAGGCUGGUAGACGGGCAGAAGUGGAUGCUUGCUGUCUGGGCCCAGCCCCACCCACCCAGACCCUGCCGACCGGUCCUGAACACCUCAAACAGGCCUGGUCCCUGGCCCACAGCU